AAAUCAUGUUAGGAGGGCACCUUCUGAUUAAUUGCUAGUACCUCUCCCAGGUUUCAUAGAGGGAUUCACCCUCUUUCUGUCUGAAGGUUUGAACUUCCACCUUAAGUUU